rnacentral:rRNA from 1 species
AUUGAACGCUGGCGGCAUGCCUAACACAUGCAAGUCGAGCGGCAGAACGGGGCGUGACCCCGGAUUCCGAGGGGGACGGGUGAGUGAUGCAUAGGAGAAUGCCUGGUAUAGGGGGAUAGCAUCUGUAAACGGACGCUAAUAUAGCACACGCCACGAGGGAGAAAAAGGGGGAUACUUGGAGACCACGCAAUAUGAUGACCCUAGGUCGGAUUAGCUAGUUGGUGGGGUAAAGGCCUACCAAGGCGACGAUCCGUAGCUGGUCUGAGAGGAUGAUCAGCCACACUGGAACUGAGACACGGUCCAGACUCCUACGGGAGGCAGCAGUGGGGAAUAUUGGACAAUGGGCGAAAGCCUGAUCCAGCCAUGCCGCGUGAGUGAAGAAGGUCUUCGGAUUGUAAAGCUCUUUAAGUUGGGAAGAAGGGGUGUGUGUUAAUACCUUGCUGUUUUGACGGUACCAACAGAAGAAGCACCGGCUAACUACGUG